rnacentral:rRNA from 1 species
UCUGGCUCAGAUUGAACGCUGGCGGCAGGCCUAACACAUGCAAGUCGAACGGUAACAGGAAGAAGCUUGCUCUUGCUGACGAGUGGCGGACGGGUGAGUAAUGUCUGGGAAACUGCCUGAUGAGGGGGAUAACUACUGGAAACGGUAGCUAAUACCGCAUAACGUCGCAAGACCAAAGAGGGGGACCUUCGGGCCUCUUGCCAUCGGAUGUGCCCAGAUGGGAUUAGCUUGUUGGUGGGGUAACGGCUCACCAAGGCGACGAUCCCUAGCUGGUCUGAGAGGAUGACCCAGCCACACUGGAACUGAGACACGGUCCAGACUCCUACGGGAGGCAGCAGUGGGGAAUAUUGCACAAUGGGCGCAAGCCUGAUGCAGCCAUGCCGCGUGUAUGAAGAAGGCCUUCGGGUUGUAAAGUACUUUCAGCGGGGAGGAAGGGAGUAAAGUUAAUACCUUUGCUCAUUGACGUUACCCGCAGAAGAAGCACCGGCUAACUCCGUGCCAGCAGCAGC